rnacentral:rRNA from 1 species
ACGCUCGACACCUACGGAGGCAGCAGUGGGGAAUAUUGCACAAUGGGGGAAACCCUGAUGCAGCGACGCCGCGUGGAGGAAGAAGGUCUUCGGAUUGUAAACUCCUGUUGGUUAGGGGAAAAAGAGGAUGGUAACCCCAACAAGGAAGUGACGGCUAACUACGUGCCAGCAGCGAGUAUNGNGNGNNGNAG